GACGAACGCUGGCGGCGUGCUUAACACAUGCAAGUCGAACGCUGAAGCUUGGUGCUUGCACUGGGUGGAUGAGUGGCGAACGGGUGAGUAAUACGUGAGUAACCUGCCCUUGACUCUGGGAUAAGCCUGGGAAACUGGGUCUAAUACUGGAUAUGACAUGCCACUGCAUGGUGGUGUGUUGAAAGGGUUUUACUGGUUUUGGAUGGGCUCACGGCCUAUCAGCUUGUUGGUGGGGUAAUGGCCUACCAAGGCGACGACGGGUAGCCGACCUGAGAGGGUGACCGGCCACCCUGGGCCUGAGACACGGCCCAGACUCCUACGGGACGCAGCGGUGGGGAAUAUUGCACAGUGGGCGGAAGCCUGAGGCAGAGACGCCGCGUGAGGAAUGACGGCCUUCGGGUUGUAAACAUCUUUCAGCACGGAAGAAGCGAGCGUGACGGUACGUGCAGAAGAAGCGCCGGCUAACUACGUG
rnacentral:rRNA from 1 species